CUCGUAGCUUGCUAUGAGAACAGUUAGUGGCAGACGGGUGAGUAAUGCAUAGGAAUCUACCUAGUAGUAUAGGAUAGCCACUAGAAGUGGUGGGUAAUACUGUAUAAUCCCUGCGGGGGAAAGAUUUAUCGCUACAUGAUGAGCCUAUGUUAGAUCAGCUAGUUGGUGGGGUAAUGGCCUACCAAGGCAGUGAUCUAUAGCUGGUCUGAGAGGAUGAUCAGCCACACUGGAACUGAGACACGGUCCAGACUCCUACGGGAGGCAGCAGUGGGGAAUAUUGGACAAUGGGCGCAAGCCUGAUCCAGCUAUGCCGCGUGAGUGAGGAAGGCCUUAGGGUUGUAAAACUCUUUCAGUGGGGAAGAUAAUGACGGUACCCACAGAAGAAGUCCCGGCAAACUCCGUGCCAGCAGCCGCGGUAAUACGGAGGGGGCAAGCGUUGUUCGGAAUUAUUGGGCGUAAAGGGCAUGUAGGUGGUUUGGUUAGUUAAAGGUGAAAUGCCAGGGCUUAACCCUGGAGCUGCUUUUAAUACUGCCAGACUGGAGUCCGGGAGA
rnacentral:rRNA from 1 species